AUUGAACGCUGGCGGCAGUCCUAACACAUGCAAGUCGAACGAGUGGCGGACGGGUGAGUAAUGUCUGGGAAACUGCCUGAUGGAGGGGGAUAACUACUGGAAACGGUAGCUAAUACCGCAUACCAUCAGAUGUGCCCAGAUGGGAUUAGCUAGUUGGGUGGGUAAAGGCUAACCAAGGGGACGAUCCCUAGCUGGUCUGAGAGGAUGACCGGCAACACUGGAACUGAGACACGGUCCAGAUUCCUACGGACGGCAGCAGUGGGGAAUAUUGUACAAUGUGCGCAAGCCUGAUGCAGCCAUGCCGCGUGUAUGAAGAAGGCCUUCGGGUUGUAAAGUACUUUCAGCGGGGAGGCGUUACCCGCAGAAGAAGCACCGGCUAACUCCGUGCCAGCAGCCGCGGUAAUUC
rnacentral:rRNA from 1 species